GUGGAUGUGGUGAAGUGGUUAACACACCGGAUUGUGGCUCCGGCAUUCGAGGGUUCGACCCCCUUCAUCCACCCCA
rnacentral:tRNA from 2 species